UAUGGGAACCCAGUCACCACCUACACCAGAUCAGAGCCCCACUAUACAGAUGAGUAUGGGAACCCAGUACGCGAAAGGGGGAUGAUGGACAAGAUCAAGGAGAAGCUCCCAGGUACUCAUGACCCCUACUCAUCUCAUUCUCAGACAACCUACCCCACUGCACGUUACGGUGAAACCGGCUACACUGGAUUGGAGCAGCACCAUGGGAUGAUGAACAAGAUGCCAGGUACUGACCCCUACUCAUCUCAUUCUCAUACAACCGGCACCACUGCACCUUACGAUGGAACCGGCUACACCGGAACAGAGUACCGCCAGCACAAGGGCACGAUGGACAGGAUCAAGGAUAAGCUGACUGGGACUGGUGGACAUAGGGUGGAUGAUCCCUACUCAUCUCAUUCUCAUAAAACCGCCACCACCACACCUUACGGUGGCACCACCACCACAGCUUACGGUGACAGCACCACCACACCUUCACCUUACGGUGGCACCACCACCACACAUUCACCUUACGGUGGCACCACCACCACAGCUUACGGUGACACCACCACCACACCUUCAGCUUACGGUGGCACCACCACCACACCUUCAGCUUACGGUGGCACCGCCACCACCACCUACCCCCGUGAAAAGAAGGGCAUCAUGGACAAGAUCAAAGAGAAACUUCCUGGUGGACAUCAUUAUUAAUAAUAGGGUUAUGUAAGAGAUAGAUACGUUAGGUAUCGUUUUGUGUUCAAUGUUUUAGUAUGACGUGUAUAAUAAGCGGUG
rnacentral:lncRNA from 1 species